GGUUGGAAAUCUUUGGAUAUCAUUGUUGUAGCUGAACGACUUGCACUAACUCUUGAAGCAACAAGGAGAUUAAAGGAGGUAGAAGAAUUGUUAGAGAGAUGUCUUGAUGCCAAGAAAAACUUACUUCCUCAUGAAAACUUUGCUUCUACAUGUGCAUUGACAUUUUCCUUAUUCUGCUGGUUCAAAACUCAUGGUGGUAAAGGUUAGAAAAUGGCAGCUUGAAUCUGAACUUUAGAAAUUUAAAUCUGUUAUUUCUGAAAUUGUUGGAUUUGUUUGAUUUUUGUAUUUGGACUUGCAGAGGUAUGGGCCUAAACCUUUGGCUGAUAUAAUCUGAUUUUCUAUAGUUGUUUAAUUCAUGUCAUGUUUCUUUCUUGUGGAGGAUGACAAAAUCUUGGUUAGUACUAUUGUUGCUUUAUAAAAAGAAGGAAAUAGUGCAUUUCACUUGGUCAGUAUAGAUUUCUGUAAGAAAGAAAUAUGUAGCCAAAAGAAUAAACUUUAUGAUUGUUUGACUACGUACUUGAUUGAAGUCUUUUGCUUUUCCUUUUUUCUGUACAUAGUGUAGCUUCUUGAUAAAGCUUAUUCCUACUGAGUUGAUCAAAGCUUAUCAAAAGGCCAUACUGAAUACACAUCCGUCGCUUCUUCCAGCAUUUGGUGGAAAAGGGUAUUACGGUAUGAAGGUGCACGAAACAGUAAUUGCAUCUGGAGCAAGAUAAAGAAGAAGAAAAGUGAUGCAGGAGAACCAGUAAAGUACAUGGGCUGUGGGGACUGCGAGAAUCUCAGUAAAGUACAUGGGCUAUGGUAGCUUGGGAUGGCUUGAGGUCAAAAGACAACCAGAGAAUCAUAGCAGGUUGAUUAACUAGUUCUUGAGGACUUGGUGCUAGAAACAUUGUAUGAUAGAUUUUUGUUUUAGCUAUAAGGUAGUUGGUAUCUUCAAUUUUGAAUCGGAAUAUGCAACGAUGAUGUAUACUUGAUAUUUGGUUCAUUUGUAUAAUAAUGUAUGAAUUUUUU